rnacentral:rRNA from 1 species
UGAUCAUGGCUCAGGAUGAACGCUGGCGGCGUGCUUAACACAUGCAAGUCGAGCGAAGCACUUAGGAAAGAUUCUUCGGAUGAUUUCCUAUUUGACUGAGCGGCGGACGGGUGAGUAACGCGUGGGUAACCUGCCUCAUACAGGGGGAUAACAGUUAGAAAUGACUGCUAAUACCGCAUAAGACCACAGCACGCAUGGUGCNGGGGUAAAAAACUCCGGGUGGUAUGAGAUGGGACCCGCG